rnacentral:rRNA from 1 species
UCCUACGGGGGGCAGCAGUAGGGAAUUUUCGUCAAUGGGCGCAAGCCUGAACGAGCAAUGCCGCGUGAACGAGGAAGGUCUUCGGAUCGUAAAGUUCUGUUGCAGGGGAAAAGGAGCGGAGAGAGGAAAUGGUCUCCGAUUGAUAUUACCCUUCGAGGAAGUCACGGCUAACUACGUGCCAGCAGCCGCGGUAAUACGUAGGUGGCGAGCGUUAUCCGGAAUGAUUGGGCGUAAAGGGUGCGUAGGCGGCCUGCUAAGUCUGGAGUGAAAGGUACCGGCUCAACCGGUACAGGCUCUGGAAGCUG